rnacentral:rRNA from 1 species
GACGAACGCUGGCGGCGUGCCUAAUACAUGCAAGUCGAACGCAGUGGGGACGGGUGAGUAACACGUGGGUAAUCGCCCAUCACAGGGGAUAACACUUGGAAACAGCUGCUAAACCGAUACGGCUGGAUGGACCCGCGGUGCAGUAGCUAGUUGGUGGGGUAACGGCUCACCAAGGCCACGAUGCAUAGCCGACCUGAGAGGAUGACCGGCAACACUGGGACUGAGACACGGCCCAGACUCCUACGGGAGGCAGCAGUAGGGAAUCUUCGGCAAUGGGCGAAAGCCUGACCGAGCAAAGCGGCGUGAGUGAAGAAGGGUUACGGAGCGUAAAGCUCUGUUGUUAGAGAAGCGGUAUCUAACCAGAAAGCCACGGCUAACUACGUGCCAGCAGCCGCGGUAAUAC